UAUCAGCUUCCUGGAAAAGUUCAACAACAAGAGGAGAUAAUCAAUUAAUCCUUUAAUCUGGUUGUCAAGAAAAAGAAUGCAGAUUAAUUCCUGAAUAUUAAUUUAUUUUCAAUCUAAAGCAAUUUGAUCAAUAUUUCAACAUUACUCUGGUAAACCCGAUGAUAAUUUGCUGGAACUGAGGACAUUCCCACUUGCUCUGACCAUUCGGCGAUUUUGGUCAUCUCACUGUUCAUCGUUGUUUGAAUCAUAUCAAUUGAAUAGUUUCGACGAACUCCCAAUUCAUCAAAUAUAAUUUUACCCGUUAAUCCUUCAAUGUUGGUCUUUUAAGGUAUUGUUUGAUUAACUUGCCGUGUUCCCAGUGGAGUGUUGGAUAAGUUUCAGCGCAAUUGAUUCCCGGUUUUGGACUAUUUCCAUUGUAAACCUCAUUACCUCUUAAGUUUCCAUCGAAAAUGUUUGGAUGUUCAAUUAGUAUUCGCUCGAGUGUGUCCAAUAAUAUUCUGGUUCCGUCAAACAUGAGAGCAGCAUCGGCCUGAGAAAUUGAUUAUCGAUAAACAAUCAACGGAUAAGAAUAAUUCAAUUUAUUAUUCAGGAGGCAAAAAAAAAACUCCGGUUAACAAACGGAUAUUAUGUCAAGAUGAUGAUGACAUGAUAAAUGAUAUUAAUAAAUGAUUGAAAUAGUUGAAUGGUUUCACCGAAACUCAGGUAACCAGAAAAAUAUUCAAAAAACAAAAUCAACUGAUGAAAAAUAUUUCAAAAAGAUGAAAUUUUACCUCAUGAUAGCGAAAGGCGAAAGUUAUAUUACCAUUAUUAAUAGAGAUUCUGUAAGUUAAAUUCUUGUUCAAUAGAUAUUUUCAUGAGAAACUAUCAGAACUUUUUUUUCUUGAUUUUCUCUUAACAUUUUUGUGGAUUUUUUUUCUUUACCUUUCUUGAUCAUUAUCUCAGAAUUUAUUCUGUUCUGGAAAAUUACUCAGACAAAAGAGAUACAAUGAAUAUCCCGUUAUCCCUGAUUCUUUCCAGAAAAAAAAACUGAGAAUCUAAUAACUUUAUAUGUCAGUUGAACUUCGUGGUCUUAAUAAUAUAUAUUGCUGAUGUUCUGGUUGUGAUGAAGUAAAAAAUGGUUUCAAGGUAAAUUAUUAAUACAAAUUCUACCUCUCGACAGCUCAUAUCAAGAAUGGAAAAUAAGAAUAAGAAUUUUCUCUCUCGCUGGAGACUUACCGAUAUGUAUCGAUGUCCAGCACCAGGCCAAUGGAAUGGAUCUAAUGUUUUCCAUGAUGAGAUGAAAGUUCGGAAAAAAAUUGAACUACGAUUAAGAAUUCGAAAUCCUGUUAUAUUAAUUGCACCAAAU